AGUGAACGCUGGCGGCAGGCCUAAUACAUGCAAGUCGAACGGCAGCACAGCAGAGCUUGCUCUGUGGGUGGCGAGUGGCGGACGGGUGAGGAAUACGUGGGAAUCUGCCCAGUCGUGGGGGAUAACGUAGGGAAACUUACGCUAAUACCGCAUGCGCCCUUCGGGGAAAGCCGGGGACCUUCGGCCUGGCGCGAUUGGAUGAGCCCACGUCGGAUUAGCUAGUUGGCGGGGUAAAGGCCCACCAAGGCGACGAUCCGUAGCUGGUCUGAGAGGAUGAUCAGCCACACUGGAACUGAGACACGGUCCAGACUCCUACGGGAGGCAGCAGUAGGGAAUAUUGGACAAUGGGCGCAAGCCUGACCCAGCAACGCCGCGUGGAGGAAGACGGCCUCGGUUGUAACGUACCUUUUGUACGGGGUAAGGAGAGAGGACGGUACC
rnacentral:rRNA from 1 species